rnacentral:rRNA from 1 species
AUGAGCCUGUUGUUUUUCCAACAGCUACUCAGAUGUCUAAACACCACCAAAUUUGGCAUAGACAUCACCCUCUCGAGCAUAUUGCUUGUCUAUUUUCUUUAUUUUUUUACUAUUUCUUUUGAUUUUACUGUUCACGCUCGAGCUCAGAGCCGAGCCGCUGCGCCCACCUCUGACAUUGAUAUUCGUAGUUGCGUGGCUGGUGUACGCGCAAAGUCCAAACAACAUUCCCCCAAGUUGUUUAUGUUCAUAGUUGUUGAUAGCUUCUGUGACCAGAAAUUUUGUGGGACAUUCUCACCGGCUGCCUAA